GUGAAAAAUGUCCACUGUCCCCCUCUAUUGAUUGACACUGUUCUCAUGCCUCUGUCUUCCUGCUGAAGAAAGUUAUUACAAAAAGAAGGUUAAUUUUGGACAUGCAAUUCCCUUUUCUACCAGUAGGUGUAAAAUAGAAGGUUGUGAAAAAUGUCCACUGUUCCCCUCUAUUUAUUUACACUGGUCUCAUGCCUCUGUCUCCCUGAUGUAAAAAGUUAUUACAAAAAGAAGGUUAAUUUUGGACAUGCAAUUCCCUUUUCUACCAGUAGGAGUAAAAUGGAAGGUUGUGAAAAAUGUCCACUGUCCCCCUCUUUUGAUUGACACUGGUCUCAUGUCUACAGGCCCUUUAACUAAAAAGCUAUUACAAAAACACCGCCCACUGAGGCAUAACAAAAAAACGAAGAAAAAUUGCACUUUCCACACGGUCCCUUACCGAAAGCUGCGCGAAGAGCGAGCUCUCCCGGCUUAAUGCACAUUGCGACGGCUUGUGUGGGGCAGUGCUUAUUACAUCGAGCGAAAAUUAUGAAAAAGAAGGCUGUGAAACAUGAU